rnacentral:rRNA from 1 species
GACGAACGCUGGCGGCGUGCUUAACACAUGCAAGUCGAGCGGUAAGGCCCUUUCGGGGGUACACGAGCGGCGAACGGGUGAGUAACACGUGGGUGACCUGCCCUCAGCUCUGGGAUAAGCCUGGGAAACCGGGUCUAAUACUGGAUAUGACUCCAUGACGCAUGUUGUGGGGUGGGAAGCCUUGUGCGGCUGAGGAUGGGCCCGCGGCCUAUCAGCUUGUUGGUGGGGUGANGGCCUACCAAGGCGACGACGGGUAGCCGGCCUGAGAGGGCGACCGGCCACACUGGGACUGAGACACGGCCCAGACUCCUACGGGAGGCAGCAGUGGGGAAUCUUGCGCAAUGGGCGAAAGCCUGACGCAGCGACGCCGCGUGUGGGAUGACGGCCU